ACAGUGAUGUACUGCGAGCGCCCCUCAUUCGUAAUGAGGGGGUCGGGGGUUCGAAGCCCUCUUGCGGCACCA
rnacentral:tRNA from 1 species